UACGGAGGGUGCGAGCGUUGUCCGGAAUCAUUGGGCGUAAAGGGCGCGUAGGUGGCCCGGUCAGUCCGUGGUGAAAGCGCGGGGCUCAACCCCGCGUCGGCCAUGGAUACUGCUGGGCUGGAGCACUGUAGAGGCAGGCGGAAUUCCGGGUGUAGCGGUGGAAUGCGUAGAGAUCGGGAAGAACACCAACGGCGAAAGCACUCUGCUGGGCCGAAACUGACACUGAGAGACGAAAGCUAGGGGAGCAAACAGG
rnacentral:rRNA from 1 species